rnacentral:lncRNA from 1 species
AAUUUCUAAAAUACCAAAACCUCUAAAUCCCUAAAAAUUUCUUCCCAAAACCCACAAUUUCUCCCAAAAUCUUUCCAAAUCACCAAAUUUCUCUGGACGAUUUUUCUACAUCUCUGCCACCGUCGAGUUCUUCAUCGAUAUCUUCAUCUCCACCGGCCUGCAUCUCUUCAUCUCUACAUUCCCAAAUUUCCGCCGGCUUGCAUCGAUCUACUAUCCACCGGAUUGCAUAUCUUCAUCUCCUCAUCUAUUGUCGGCGACUUUCAUUGGUAUUUUUCUUUCUUUUUUAAAAAUCCAAAUAAAUUUGACGAGAAUGUAAUAAAUAAAAUGCAACAUUUGAAGUUGAGAUUAAAAAAAAAUCUUUUAUGUAUCUCCAUGAAUCAGAUAAUACUAUCUUAUUUUCAUUGUUUAUAUUGGUAUUGUUUACUUUGUUUGUUAGACUUAUAGGGAUUUCUUUUAAUCAAGGAGAAAUUUCUAUAGAUUUAUUAUCAAAAUGGGUGUAGUAAAUUUUUCAGAUUCUGCUAAGCUUUGAUUUAUCAGAUUCUGUAGUAAAUUUUUUUUAUGUAUACCUUUUUUUAAUAAUUUCUUUUUUCUAUUACAUCUAGGACUAGGUAUUUAGGAUUUUCUCUCUCUUCAAACUCUUUUCUAUCGGCAAAAGAUAUUGAGAGAUCAUUCUUUUUUUUUUUAAUUCGUAUAGUUUUUUUAAUAAAUUCUUCAAUACAUUCUUCUGCCUAAAUGGAAGAUAUUGGUAAUAAAUAAUAAAAUACAAAACGUCCUUAUUAGAUGGAAUAAAAGGAUUUUGUCGCAUUUGGAAUACUACGAAUUGUUAAACUCUUUGAUUAACUUAUAUUUAUGACUAAAUAAAAUGUUGAUAGACCAAAACUCCAAAAUAAAGUAAAUGGAAUUAUGGAUAGUGGACACAUCCUUUUUUGGAUAAUUUAUCUCAUUUUUUGUAUGAUUUACCGCCUUUUUAACUAUGUAUUUUUUUUAUUUUCCUUAUAUUUCAGAUCUUAUAUCUAUUUUGCUUAUGUUAGUAUAUUAAUCAAUUUUUUUCUUUUCAGAUUUUGUUUCGUCUUCUUAUUUUUAGAUUUUGCAUCGUCGAUCUUCUCCUGAGUAGCUUAUUUCAUAUGUACGUUUUUAGUUCAUUAUAUUCAGAUCAUUUUUAUUCUCCUGAGUAGCUUCUUUGAUCUUAUAUAUAUUCAGAUCAUUUUUAUGAUGUGAUUUACAUGAUUAUUUUCUUCACUUGAUAUUUGAUACUUCUCUAGUUCAUCAUGGUGUUUGUUUGCUUUUAAAAUUAUAAAUUAUAAAAUAUACAAAUUGAUUAUGUUGAUCGUAAAAAAAAUCCGAAAAUACAUGUUUUCUAUUUAAUUUGUUUAUAUUUAGGGUGUCAAACGAGCCGAGCCGAGCUGAGAUUUUUCUUAUAGAGCCAGGGUCAGACUCGGCUCGUUAAGGAGUUAUCCAGGCUCGGAUUCGGCUCGUUUUAAGAAUUACCAGGCUCGAGCUCGAAGCUAGCGAGCCCACAGAGCUUAACGAGCUGAACCCGAGCUGAACCUUUCUUAUUAUGAUUUAUUUUUUUAUUUUUCAUGAUAUAUUUUUAUUGGAUCAAUAGAUCGAUGAUAUAUAUAACAUGUAAUCUAAAAUUCAAUAAACUCAUGACAAAAUUUAGAUUGUCAUGAAUUAGUAUCUUAGAUUAUACGGACAUGCAACUCAUUUUUGCAUGUUUCAAUUAUUUUUAUCGUUUAAAUACAUCCGAUAUAGAAAUUGAUCGGAUUUCUCUUUGUAUUUUAUAGAAUGGUCGACAAUGAUCGAAAUUGGAUGUACAACCGACUAGAUGAGAAAAAUCAAAUUACCGAUUCAUUUCUCAAUGGUGUUGAGCGAUUUCUAAACUUUGCAUUCUCAGAGUCAAUUAUGACUCGUGAAGACGGAAAAAUUAAAUGUCCUUGUAGUAGUUGUUGUUUAAAUAAGGAAGUUAGAGAUAUAAUGACAGUUUAUCUUUACAAGUUCAGUUUUAUGAGUGAUUACACUAAUUGAGACAGACAUGGAGAACCAAGG